rnacentral:rRNA from 1 species
CCUACGGGAGGCAGCAGUGGGGGAUAUUGCACAAUGGGGGGAACCCUGAUGCAGCGACGCCGCGUGGGUGAAGGAGCGUUUCGGCGCAUAAAGCCCUAUCGGCAGGGAAGAAGGAGGACGGUACCUGACUAAGAAGCCCCGGGUAACUACGUGCCAGCAGCCGCGGUAAUAAGUAGGGGGCAAGCGUUAUCCGGAUUUACUGGGUGUAAAGGGGGCGCAGACGGCAGCGCAAGCCAGGAGUGAAAGCCCGGGGGCCAACCCCGGGACUGCUCUUGGAACUGCGCGGCUGGAGUGCAGGAGGGGCAGGCGGAAUUCCUGGUGUAGCGGUGAAAUGCGUAGAUAGCAGGAGGAACACCGGUGGCGAAGGCGGCAUGCUGGACUGCGACUGACGUUGAGGCACGAAAGCGUGGGGAGCAAACAGGAUUAGAUACCCUAGUAGUC